rnacentral:lncRNA from 1 species
CUUCCUGGCGCCUUGUCAUCUGCACAUAUCCCGGUUCUUUAACUCGUUGACUCACUUACCUGUUUUGUUCACGGCUGAAUCCCCAGAACCAACUGCUGGACCUGCAGCAGGACCUGGCCUCCUUUUUCCUAACCAGCAGGCGAGCUCCCCAAGCCUCAAGAUAAACAGUCGGCGGGUCCCAACGAUCGCUUUUCUAACAGAAUGGAAUGAAACCGCCUACACUGCACACAGGAAGGGUAAUAGCCAACAGACCAGCCCAGUCAUGGACCACAAGGAAGGCAGUUCUGGGUCUGGGGAGAAGCCACCGGUCGGCACCCUGUUCGGUCCUGCAGGGCGGGUCUGGUGGGCAUUGCGGAGAGUAAGUCUGACGGCACCAGCCCCCAAGCCCACAGGCGCAGACAGCGAGUGAGGAGUGCAGACAACGGAGGUUGGAGGCAGAUGAGGCUCGGCUCCAGGGCUGGCUGAAGGGGCCAUCUGGAGUCAAAUAAAGUGGAUUUUCUAUCAGACUUACACGAAAGAAGACUGGUCAUCAUCUGCAAGGCCAUAUACCCCAAACCCACUGUAGUUAAGAACUCAUGCCCUGAAGUCUAAAGAGAUCCAGGUUCAAGUCUCAGUUCCCCUGCCCCUUGCAAAUGCAAUUUGAAGCUAUGCAUUUCCCUCUGAAGACUGCUUUGUCUUUCAUCCCAUGGAUCUUCAUGUACAACACUCAGCUCUCCUGGUUCAGUUCUAGUUAGACUAUCCUUUCCAUUUUGAUUUUUCCUUUAACUGGAGAACUUAUCUGAAAUAUGGAUCAUAACGUUUAGGUUUGUGAGGCUACGUUGAGAUGGUGAAAGUAAAGUCCCUAGGACAGUGCCUGGCACAGGAUAAGCAUGUCAUAUAUUUUACUGCUGCUCUGCUGCCUCUGAUAAGAUUGUAUCAUAGAGUUCCUCCAUCUCUGAUCAGAAUCUUGCCCCUUUUCCUGCCCCUAGUGUCCUCACCACUUCUUAUAAACAUGUCUAACAGAGUCAUUCUCCUAAAAUGGAGGCCUACUCAGAUCAUUUUCCAACCAAAAAAAUCUAAGGUGAUUCACUGUUGCCAGUGCACAUGUAUGGACCUCAGGAAUCUCCUGACUCACCUAGAAGAGAAGCUGCCUGAGAGUGCAGGCCUUUCUGUCACAUUCAGCACUGGUGUUACUGGGGUUGGCAAGGGUGCCUGGCAUAUGAGAGGUGCCCGACCUAUACUAGCUGGGGUGAAUGAAUGAAUGAAUGAAUGGUCUACUCUUGAGGAUACUCCUUUCAUUUCCUGAAAGCUCCUCCUGUAAAUCUUGAUUUCCUUACUUUCCCCUUUUGCAUCCAUGUAUCGUUUGCAUUUCUUAUGAAAAUUUGUUUUCAUUAAAAGAAGCAGAAACCUGCUCUGGCGAGCUUGGCUUGAGAGGGGGGGAGUUCCCAUCGUGGCUCAGGAGUAAUGCAGGUUCAAUCCCUGGCUUCACUCUGUGGGUUAAGGAUCCGGCAUUGCCGUGAGCUGGGGUGUAGGUCACAGACGCAGCUCUGAUUUGACCCAGAGCCUGGGAACCUCCAUGUGCUAGGGGUGCAGCCCCCCCCCCAAAAAAAGGGAGAGCAUUUAUUAAAGAACACAGACAGACACUCCAGGACUAAGAGCCUGACUUGGCAUCAGGAAGGCCCAGGACUAAGAAGAGGAAGCCCUGGGAGCCCAUGAAGGUCCCAUCUCUCAACUGCUUCUCCGCACACAUCUUCAUUUCCUCUUUCUUAUAGACUGGCUCCAUCGGAUGCUCACAGCUCCUGUUUGACAUAUAUUUCAGUGCCAUGUGGGGAUCACAUCUUUUUCAGUACUCACUCCACAUUCUCAGGAAGGAGCUGGAUUUUCCCAGCCUGCAUCAAUUCUUGCCCCUGAUUCACUCAACAGUAGUGGGAAGAAUGUGGCCUUUUAGUUCAGGCCAGGUGCCUGCAGACCCCACCCCAGGGAAGGGGGUAGGGAAAAGGCAGUUCAGAAGCCAUUGCGAGCUGGCGGCCCUCCAAAUGCAUCACCAAUCCUGGGCUUUCCAAGCAUCUGUCACUCACAUGCCGCUUUCAUAACAAGAGGCAUGGUCCCGACUGCCUGGGUGCAAAUCACAGCUCUGCCACUUGCUAUCUGUGUGAUCUGAGCAAGGUACUGAGCCUCAGUUUCCUCAUCUGUAGGAGGAGCGCUGUGAAUAUCGACCAAAGUUGCUUGGGUCUAAAAUUCUUAAAGCUGGGAGUGUCCCAUUGUAAACACAUCAAAAAAUACUUAGCCGUUAACACCGCUAAGAGCCUUUAUUGUUUUUAAAUUCCUUCAUGGCCCGCGUAAGAUUAUUACUAUGGCUUAUUUUUUGUUCCACUGUCAAUAAAAC